CUGGCCGCCGCCUUUGUCUGCGCUGAGGAGGGGCGGGGGGUGAGAGGGGGAAGUUUUGGCACCGGAGGAGGAUUGCUAGAGCCCGCCGAGGUGCGCCGACCCCUCGCAGAGAGGGGCCCGUCCCGGCCCGCCGGCAGCAGCAUCAGCAUUAGAUCAGCGCUGGCGCUGCGGCUCGUGUUCCCCUUGCUAGCUGAAGACAUUUGAUUAAGCUCGGCAAUCUCUGACCGUCCUCUUGGCUCGGGCUCUGACACUCUGUGACUUAGACCUGCCGAGUCCCUCUCUUUCACGGUUUUACUCCGGCUAACAAAGCCUGGGCUGCGGAGGAAAACCUGCUUCCUGGUGCACCCACUCUGCUGCUUUGCCCUAUCUGCCCCCGAGUCCUUAGAGACGGGGAUCGAAGUUUCUUCACCGUGGUUUCUUCACCGUCUCCGCGCUCUCUUCUUGCUGCCACCUCACAGGUGCACUGUGCGGCUUCGGACAGGAUGGGCCACGCUCCUCCAUCUCCGACUCACCUACCUCUUCCACAGACAUGGAUGUGGAUGUCCGGUUUCCUGAGUUGUGCGUUAUCCCUACACUGUCUCAGUGAUGCUGUAGGCUUUUGUGCUUUACUCUUUACCUAACUGCUGACUUAAAAAAAUACCCAGAUGCUCAUGAAAAUCUUGAAGCUCAUUGAAUUUCCUCUUUCACAACCUUAUCCUUUAUCACCAUGCCACAAACUUCUUCGGGGUGCUUGGACAUUCCGGCAUUUCGGUAUUACCUUGUAGUGGGAUUCAGAAUAAUAGCUCUAAUGUCUUGUAACUCUAACCAGAAACUUCACUUAUGUUUACCUUUAGGAAGCCAGAAGAAAAUAUCUACCAUUGAUCAAGGGAUCUUUGAACUCGGUGAAUUCUUGAUUGUAUUCAGUCAUUGUUCAUGGUAUUAAUCCUACUAAAAGGUAUAGAGACGCUCCAGAGUGCUUUGUGGUGUUGAAGGUUGUGGAAAGAUCAUUGUACCCCUACAGAUGAAUAGAUCUGUGGCUUUUGCAGUGACCUUUCUCAGUGAUUUGAAUUAAGCUGCAGUUCCCAGAAA